GAUGAAGAACGUAGCGAAAUGCGAUACGUAAUGUGAAUUGCAGAAUUCAGUGAAUCAUCGAAUCUUUGAACGCAUAUUUCGCUCUUUGGUAUUCCGAAGAGCAUGCUUGUUUGAGUAUCAGUAAACACCUCAAAGCUUUUGGAUUUUUUAAUCGAAAGGCUUUGGACUUGAGCAAUCCCAACACCAAUCUUUUUGAGAUCGGUGGCGGGUUGCUUGAAAUGCAGGUGCAGCUGGACAUUCUCCUGAGCUAAAAGCAUAUUCAUUUAGUCCCGUCAAACGGAUUAUUACUUUUGCUGCAGCUAACAUAAAGGGAGUUUGACCGUAUUGGCUGACUGAUGCAGGAUUUCACAAGGGUCGGCAACGAUUCUUGUUAAACUCGAUCUCAAAUCAAGUAAGACUACCCGCUGAACUUAAGCAUAUCAAUAAGCGGAGGA
rnacentral:misc_RNA from 1 species